UACGUAGGGACCGAGCGUUGUCCGGAAUCAUUGGGCGUAAAGAGCGUGUAGGCGGCCACUUAAGUCCUGCGUGAAAUCUUGCGGCUCAACCGCAAGCGGUCGUGGGAAACUGGGUGGCUAGAGUGCGGGAGAGGAGAGUGGAAUUCCUGGUGUAGCGGUGGAAUGCGCAGAUAUCAGGAGGAACACCGGUGGCGAAGGCGGGACUCUGGGCCGAUACUGACGCUGAGGAGCGAAAGCGUGGGGAGCAAACAGG
rnacentral:rRNA from 1 species